AAGUCGUAACAAGGUUUCCGUAGGUGAACCUGCGGAAGGAUCAUUAAUACACGAUUUCACAAUCGUACAAACCAAUCGCGCACUUGUUUCGUACCCCAAGUCUGUCUGAGCCGCAAAGCAGAAGGGUUGAGGUAGUGUCAGCAGGGAUUCAAUGCCUUGCUUGCUCUUCUGUCCGCCUCGGUCUCUUAAUUGAGCGUCGGGGGGGUUCUUAUCAGACUACGCUACCGCGUCCUUACUCCGAUCUUCGGACGAGUCUGGGCGCUUUUGUUUUACCCUUUCAAACCCAUUUGUAACCAUUCGUACUAAAAUUUAUUCUCGUUUCGUAAGAAACAAAAGAACAACUCUUAGCAACGGAUAUCUAGGCUCUC
rnacentral:misc_RNA from 1 species